CAGCAGCCGCGGUAAUACGAAGGGGGCUAGCGUUGCUCGGAAUGACUGGGCGUAAAGGGCGCGUAGGCGGCGAUCAAAGUCAGGCGUGAAAUUCCUGGGCUCAACCUGGGGACUGCAUUUGAGACGUGUUGGCUUGAGUGGAGAAGAGGGUCGUGGAAUUUCCAGUGUAGAGGUGAAAUUCGUAGAUAUUGGAAAGAACACCGGUGGCGAAGGCGGCGACCUGGUCUUUAACUGACGCUGAGGCGCGAAAGCGUGGGGAGCAAACAGGAUUAGAUACCCCUGUAGUCCCUGUCUCUUAUAA
rnacentral:rRNA from 1 species